NNNNNNNNNGUGAACAGGAACCAAUCAUAGCCAGCCGAGGUCAACGGGAGCCAAUCAGAUUUAGCUGGGGGUCAAUCAGAACCAAUCAGAUUAAGGCGGAGUCACCAGGAUCCAAUCAGGGCUGGGCUGGGGUCAAGGGGAACCAAUCGGAUUUAGCCUAGGGUCAAUCUUCCUCUCCAGUCCCUCCCACUUCUGCCCCGGUUCCUCCCAGUUCCACCCCAGUUCCUCCCAGUUCUGCCCCAGUUCUUCCCAGUUCCACCCCAGUUCCUCGCAGUUCCGCCCCAGUUCCUCCCUGUUCCGCCCCAGUUCCUCCCAGUUCCACCUCAGUUCUUCCCAGUUCCACCCCAGUUCUUCCCAGUUCCACCCCAGUUCCUCCCAGUUCCGCCCCAGUUCCUCCCAGUUCCGCCCCAGUUCCUCCCAGUUCUUCCCCAGUUCUUCCCAGUUCUUCCCCAGUUCCUCGCAGUUCCGCCCCAGUUCCUCCCUGUUCCGCCCCAGUUCCUCCCAGUUCCACCUCAGUUCUUCCCAGUUCUACCCCAGUUCCUCCCAGUUCCACCUCAAUUCCUCCCAGUUCUUCCCCAGUUCCUCCCAGUUUCCCCCAGUUCCCCCUCAGUUUCUCCCAGUUCUUCCCAGUUCCACCCCAGUUCCUCCCAGUUCCACCCCAGUUCCUCCCAGUUCCACCCCAGUUCCUCCCAGUUCCACCUCAGUUCCUCCCAGUUCAGCCCUAGUUCCUCGCAGUUCAGCCCCAGUUCCUCCCAGUUCUGCCCCAGUUCAGCCCCAGUUCCUCCCAGUUCAGCCCUAGUUCCUCCCAGUUCAGCCCCAGUUCCUCCCAGUUCUGCCCCAGUUCAGCCCCAGUUCCUCCCAGCUCUUCCCAUUUCCGCCCCAGUUCCUCCCAGUUCCACCCCAGUUCCUCUCAUUUCUGCCCCAGUUCCUCCCAGUUCUUCCCAGUUCCUCCCAGUUCCUCCCAGUUCCGCCCCAGCUCUCCCCCAAUUCCUCCCAGUUCCUGCCAGUUCUUCCCCAUUCCCUCCCAGUUCUGCCCCAGUUCCUCCCAGUUCCUCCCAGUUCCCCCCCACUCCCAUCCCAGUUCCUCCCAGUUCCACCCAGUUCCACCCCAUUUCCCCCUAGAUCUCCCCCAGUUCUUCCCAGUUCCUCCCAAUUAAGCCCCAAUUCCUCCCAGUUCCUCCCAGUUCUGCCCCAGUUCCUCCCAGUUCCACCCCAGUUCCCCCUAGAUCUCCCCCAGUUCU
rnacentral:lncRNA from 1 species